rnacentral:rRNA from 1 species
UACGAAGGGGGCUAGCGUUGCUCGGAAUCGCUGGGCGUAAAGGGUGCGUAGGCGGGGCUUUAAGUCAGGGGUGAAAUCCUGGAGCUCAACUCCAGAACUGCCUUUGAUACUGAAGAUCUUGAGUUCGGGAGAGGUGAGUGGAACUGCGAGUGUAGAGGUGAAAUUCGUAGAUAUUCGCAAGAACACCAGUGGCGAAGGCGGCUCACUGGCCCGAUACUGACGCUGAGGCACGAAAGCGUGGGGAGCAAACAGG